CCUACGGGAGGCUGCAGUGAGGAAUAUUGGUCAAUGGACGAGAGUCUGAACCAGCCAAGUAGCGUGAAGGAUGACUGCCCUAUGGGUUGUAAACUUCUUUUAUAUGGGAAUAAAAUGUUCCACGUGUGGGAUUUUGUAUGUACCAUAUGAAUAAGGAUCCGCUAACUCCGUGCCAGCAGCCGCGGUAAUACGGAGGAUCCGAGCGUUAUCCGGAUUUAUUGGGUUUAAAGGGAGCGUAGGUGGAUUGUUAAGUCAGUUGUGAAAGUUUGCGGCUCAACCGUAAAAUUGCAGUUGAAACUGGCAGUCUUGAGUACAGUAGAGGUGGGCGGAAUUCGUGGUGUAGCGGUGAAAUGCUUAGAUAUCACGAAGAACUCCGAUUGCGAAGGCAGUUCACUGGACUGCAACUGACACUGAGGCUCGAAAGUGUGGGUAUCAAACAGGAUUAGAUACCCGAGUAGUC
rnacentral:rRNA from 1 species